rnacentral:rRNA from 1 species
CUCGGGAAACUGAGGAUAAACCGCGAUAGGUCACUACUUCUGGAAUGGGUAAUGACCCAAACCUACAUGGCCCCUGGAUUGGACUGCGGCCGAUCAGGCCGUUGGUGAGGUAAUGGCCCACCAAACCUGUAACCGGUACGGGCUCUGAGAGGAGGAGCCCGGAGAUGGGCACUGAGACAAGGGCCCAGGCCCUAUGGGGCGCAGCAGGCGCGAAACCUCUGCAAUAGGCGAAAGCUUGACAGGGUUACUCUGAGUGAUUUCCGUUAAGGAGAUCUUUUGGCACCUCUAAAAAUGGUGCAGAAUAAGGGGUGAGCAAGUCUGGUGUCAGCCGCCGCGGUAAUACCAGCACCCCGAGUGGUCGGGACGUUUAUUGGGCCUAAAGCAUCCGUAGCCGGUUCUACAAGUCUUCCGUUAAAUCCACCUGCUUAACAGAUGGGCUGCGGAAGAUACUAUGGAGCUAGGAGGCGGGAGAGGCAAGCGGUACUCGAUGGGUAGGGGUAAAAUCCGUUGAUCCAUUGAAGACCACCAGUGGCGAAGGCGGCUUGCCAGAACGCGCUCGACGGUGAGGGAUGAAAGCUGGGGGAGCAAACCGGAUUAGAUACCCGGGUAGUCCCAGCUGUAAACGAUGCAGACUCGGUGAUGAGUUGGCUUCAUGCCAACUCAGU